rnacentral:rRNA from 1 species
UGACAGCAAGAUGUAGGUCAAGCUAAAGACUUUACCUGAAUCGCUGAGAGGAGGUGCAUGGCCGUCGUCAGUUCGUACUGUGAAGCAUCCUGUUAAGUCAGGCAACGAGCGAGACCCGUGUCCACUGUUCCCAGCAUGUCCUUCCGGAUGAUGGGUACUCUGUGGGGACCGCUCGUGCUAAACCAGAGGAAGGUGCGGGCUACGGUAGGUCAGUAUGCCCCGAAUCUCCCGGGCUACACGCGGGCUACAAUGGUUGGGACAAUGGGUCCCUACACCGAAAGGUGAUGGUAAUCUCUUAAACCCAACCGUAGUUCGAAUCGAGGACUGUAACUCGUCCUCGUGAAGCUGGAAUCCGUAGUAAUCGCGUUUCAACAUAGCGCGGUGAAUACGUCCCUGCUCCUUGCACACACCGCCCGU